rnacentral:misc_RNA from 1 species
GAUGAAGAACGCAGCAAAAUGCGAUAAGUAAUGUGAAUUGCAGAAUUCAGUGAAUCAUCGAAUCUUUGAACGCACAUUGCGCCCGCCAGUAUUCUGGCGGGCAUGCCUGUUCGAGCGUAAUUUCAACCCUCAAGCACAGCUUGGUGUUGGGACUCGCGUUAAUUCGCGUUCCCCAAAUUGAUUGGCGGUCACGUCGAGCUUCCAUAGCGUAGUAGUAAAACCCUCGUUACUGGUAAUCGUCGCGGCCACGCCGUUAAACCCCAACUUCUGAAUGUUGACCUCGGAUCAGGUAGGAAUACCCGCUGAACUUAAGCAUAUCAAUAAGCGGAGGA